CAGGUGCUGCAUGGCUGUCGUCAGCUCGUGUUGUGAAAUGUUGGGUUAAGUCCCGCAACGAGCGCAACCCUUAUCCUUUGUUGCCAGCGAUUCGGUCGGGAACUCAAAGGAGACUGCCGGUGAUAAACCGGAGGAAGGUGGGGAUGACGUCAAGUCAUCAUGGCCCUUACGAGUAGGGCUACACACGUGCUACAAUGGCGUAUACAAAGAGAAGCGACCUCGCGAGAGCAAGCGGAACUCAUAAAGUACGUCGUAGUCCGGAUUGGAGUCUGCAACUCGACUCCAUGAAGUCGGAAUCGCUAGUAAUCGUAGAUCAGAAUGCUACGGUGAAUACGUUCCCGGGCCUUGUACACACCGCCCGUCACACCAUGGGAGUGGGUUGCAAAAGAAGUAGGUAGCUUAACCUUCGGGAGGGCGCUUACCACUUUGUGAUCCAUGACUGGGGUGAAGUCGUAACAAGGUAACCGUAGGGGAACCUGCGGUUGGAUCA
rnacentral:rRNA from 1 species